rnacentral:rRNA from 1 species
GACGAACGCUGGCGGCGUGCCUAAUACAUGCAAGUAGAACGCUGAAGAGAGGAGCUUGCUCUUCUUGGAUGAGUUGCGAACGGGUGAGUAACGCGUAGGUAACCUGCCUUGUAGCGGGGGAUAACUAUUGGAAACGAUAGCUAAUACCGCAUAACAAUGGAUGACACAUGUCAUUUAUUUGAAAGGGGCAAUUGUUCCACUACAAGAUGGACCUGCGUUGUAUUAGCUAGUAGGUGAGGUAAUGGCUCACCUAGGCGACGAUACAUAGCCGACCUGAGAGGGUGAUCGGCCACACUGGGACUGAGACACGGCCCAGACUCCUACGGGAGGCAGCAGUAGGGAAUCUUCGGCAAUGGGGGCAACCCUGACCGAGCAACGCCGCGUGAGUGAAGAAGGUUUUCGGAUCGUAAAGCUCUGUUGUAAGUCAAGAACGGGUGUGAGAGUGGAAAGUUCACACUGUGACGGUAGCUUACCAGAAAGGGACGGCUAACUACGUGCCAGCAGCCGCGGUAAUACGUAGGUCCCGAGCGUUGUCCGGAUUUAUUGGGCGUAAAGCGAGCGCAGGCGGUUUGAUAAGUCUGAAGUUAAAGGCUGUGGCUCAACCAUAGUUCGCUUUGGAAACUGUCAAACUUGAGUGCAGAAGGGGAGAGUGGAAUUCCAUGUGUAGCGGUGAAAUGCGUAGAUAUAUGGAGGAACACCGGUGGCGAAAGCGGCUCUCUGGUCUGUAACUGACGCUGAGGCUCGAAAGCGUGGGGAGCGAACAGGAUUAGAUACCCUGGUAGUCCACGCCGUAAACGAUGAGUGCUAGGUGUUGGAUCCUUUCCGGGAUUCAGUGCCGCAGCUAACGCAUUAAGCACUCCGCCUGGGGAGUACGACCGCAAGGUUGAAACUCAAAGGAAUUGACGGGGGCCCGCACAAGCGGUGGAGCAUGUGGUUUAAUUCGAAGCAACGCGAAGAACCUUACCAGGUCUUGACAUCCCGAUGCUAUUUCUAGAGAUAGAAAGUUACUUCGGUACAUCGGUGACAGGUGGUGCAUGGUUGUCGUCAGCUCGUGUCGUGAGAUGUUGGGUUAAGUCCCGCAACGAGCGCAACCCCUAUUGUUAGUUGCCAUCAUUCAGUUGGGCACUCUAGCGAGACUGCCGGUAAUAAACCGGAGGAAGGUGGGGAUGACGUCAAAUCAUCAUGCCCCUUAUGACCUGGGCUACACACGUGCUACAAUGGUUGGUACAACGAGUUGCGAGUCGGUGACGGCGAGCUAAUCUCUUAAAGCCAAUCUCAGUUCGGAUUGUAGGCUGCAACUCGCCUACAUGAAGUCGGAAUCGCUAGUAAUCGCGGAUCAGCACGCCGCGGUGAAUACGUUCCCGGGCCU